rnacentral:rRNA from 1 species
GACGAACCGAGCGAACGUUGUUCGGAAUCACUGGGCUUAAAGGGCGCGUAGGCGGGCUGCCGCGUCCGGGGUGAAAUCCCACGGCUCAACCGUGGAACGGCCCCGGGUACGGGCGGCCUCGAGGGGGGUAGGGGCAUCUGGAACUGUGAGUGGAGCGGUGAAAUGCGUUGAUAUUCACAGGAACUCCGGUGGCGAAGGCGAGGUGCUGGACCCCAUCUGACGCUGAGGCGCGAAAGCCAGGGGAGCGAACGGG